AGUGUAGGCGGUUACUUAAGUCGGAUGUGAAAGCCCUGGGCUCAACCUGGGAAUGGCAUUCGAUACUGGGUAACUAGAGUUUGGUAGAGGUAAGUGGAAUUCCGGGUGUAGCGGUGAAAUGCGUAGAUAUCCGGAGGAACAUCCGUGGCGAAGGCGGGUUACUGGACCAAAACUGACGCUGAGGCUCGAAAGCGUGAGGAGCAAACAGGAUUAGAUACCCUGGUAGUCC
rnacentral:rRNA from 1 species